UACGUAGGGAGCAAGCGUUGUCCGGAAUCAUUGGGCGUAAAGCGCGUGUAGGCGGCCCGAUAAGUCCGCUGUGAAAGUCCAGGGCUCAACCCUGGGAUGCCGGUGGAUACUGUCGGGCUCGAGUCCGGAAGAGGAGUGUGGAAUUCCUGGUGUAGCGGUGAAAUGCGCAGAUAUCAGGAGGAACACCGGUGGCGAAGGCGGCAUCCUGGACCGACACUGACGCUGAGGAGCGAAAGCCAGGGGAGCAAACGGG
rnacentral:rRNA from 1 species